rnacentral:ncRNA from 1 species
GUCAACACGAUGAAUUGGUAAGUACAAAAGGAAUGUUCCUAAACAGAGAGCUUCGGUAGCUGAAAAGAAGCAGGAAACGAAUUUUGGAAAAUGGCCAAGGAGUGAUUCGUCCCGAGCAAUGAUGCAAGGCGGCGACGGCAGCAUCCGUUAUCUUGCUAGAGUAUGAUCGUACUCGAAGAGGAGCUAUAUGUGAAUAUAGCUUAAACUGAGGUGGUAACACGCAAAAAGGCGUCCUCAAG